GAAAUUUGAUUUGUUAUGUUACCUGUCCGUAUAAUGAGCCAUCCAUUCAGAGAUAAGUGGGUGUGUCUAAGAGGUGCAAUCGGAAAAAAACGUUUCACUAACUGGCAGAGACAGUCAGACCUUGGUGAGGAGCAGAGCUGAUGCUGAAGGCUUGUAGCUACGAUUUUUUCAAGUUCGACGCAGAGUCAACUUUCUGUUAAAAUUGUGGACACUGUUUGUCAUACGAGUCUUUUUUGGACCCUGUGGAAGACUGAGCACCUGUGGAAGACCGAGCACCCGUGGAAGAUCGAGCACACCCUGCCGGUCAUCUGAGCGAUUCCAACCCCCAGGCCUCAGAGAUUCCCGCCUCCGCUGUCCUGCUGCGCAGCUGGAUAACGCUGAGUUUGCCUGCAGAGCAUUUUCGCCCGCCAACAGUUGCCCUAACCAUCCGAUAAGACACGGAACCAACCACCGUAGGGAGGAUGAAGGGGAGAUCGGUGGGCGUCAUGUCGGACAAAAACAAACUAGGCAGACUGGAACGAUGACCGUGGGACGCAAUGGUGCACGGGGCCAGGAGCCAACGUCAAACGGGGACCCGGGCGCAGACGACUAACAAAAACUCCCCUGGAAUUCGGAGCAGCUGUCCAAACACCAACUCUGCUGAGAACGCGUCUAGGAGCAUUGGGCAACCCUGGCGUUAGGACCCCAAGGCCAAAGGACAGGCACCGUGCACUGUUCCGGGCAGCAUCAAUCAGGGCGUUUGGGUGCUGGACAGCGAGACGCUAGCCAAGGAUGGAGCAAGGACCCAGAGGACCAAGGAGCCGCCCAGGAUAAUAAUAGGUGUGGUAUGUGUGUAUCUGUGUAAUAUUGUAAUAUUCAGUGUAAUAUUCUCUGGUCCCCUGCUGAACCUAGUCAAUGAUGAAAAGUAAAGCUGCUUUUUAUCACUUAACCACUGGUUUAGGGGUGUAAGAAAAAACGGAUUCGGCAAAACAUCGCGAUAUUUCAUUUGGCAAUACUUGUAUCGUUUCAAAAUGCUGCCAGGACUGUAUUUAUUUAAUUAUUUCCGAGCGUCCUUCAAUGUCUGACUCUUGUUGUCCACUUCACCCUCUGACCGCUAGUUAGCAGCAGAGCACACGGAGCGUCUUAGAGCAGCUCUACUCCACACAACACAACAGGAAGACUGUAGCCAGAGGCAGCUUGUUUCUGUUAUGAGACAUGAAAUACUUCAUUUUUACGUGGGAUGGAUACCAAAAACGAGUGAAGCAUGGCAGCGGCUAAUAGGCUUAUACUCUUAGCAUCGGCUAAAAUGCUAUCGGCAAAGCGGGCUAAAGUUCUGCAGAACCUCCCAGCAAUGGAUUCUAGUUUA